UUUAUUAGUUUGAUUCUUCUAAGACCCAAGCCACGUAGCUGCUUCUUUUCACACCUGCCAAUUGACAAGAUGAUAUUUUAGUAAGUUUGUAAAACAAAUUUGUUUGUGGGUUAAAAAUAGGACACAGAGAAUAUGUUGAAUUUAGUUUAGCCUAGCAUACAUUUUGUAUUUCAAUUUAUCUUCAAGUAAGCAGAAAAUUAUUGCUUGUAAGGGUAAGCAUCCAUGGACUGCGACUCCCUUUUUCUGCACAAACUCUAUAAACCCCAACACAAACAGAUAUAAACAUCCUAUAUCCAUGCCAUCACCAGCAUUGAUCAAUUUAGUCAGCUUUAUAUUUUAUGUUUUAAUUUGUCCUAUGAAUACAAAUUUCUGAAUUUAAUCAACUAGGUAUACGGGAACAACAUGUCAAUUUCCACAUACACCACAAAGAAAGCCUUCAUUGAUGUUAUCGCAUGCGUUAUGGACAUGUACAUAACUAAAUCUUAAAAUUAAUACAGAUAUCUGUAGGCGAGGUUGUCUACAUAUGUGCAAACAAUCCAUGUCGUCUCAUUUCUGCAAGCACAUCUCUCUACAACAUCAGAUCCAUAUGACUAGCUACAAGUAUUUAAGUUAAUAAUUUGUAGGAAAACUUAACCUAUAGGCAACUAGUGCAGUCACCGGGAACUUAUUGCUAUAGCUAGGGCAUAGAGACUGACCAAUUAUCCAUACGCAGAUUUCUUUUUGAGACAAGCAAGUACUAUCUUUUAAUGUAUUCCUUAAAUCAUAAAUCAGCUUCAGUAUUGCAACUUAGCGUCGCUCAAUGGUCAAUUGAGACAACGACGUGUUUCUUUAAGUUCUAAUUUGAUCACUUAACUCCAAAGAUAGGAACAUAACUAUAGAGUCAGGGAACUCACCUUCACGGGGCUGGGCAAUUCAGCUUUCGAUAUUCGAUUUGGAGAUGUCCAUUCUUUCUUCAACCGGUUCAAUAUGUCUUCGAUUGUGUACUCCUGCUCCCUGUUUGCAAGCAUUGGGAAUUGACUUCGCUCAACCUGGUAACUAGCUUAUCCAUAAGCUAAUCAUAGUAAUUCAAGCCUCAAGG
rnacentral:lncRNA from 1 species